GGGUGCGAUCAUACCAGCGUUAAUGAACCGAAACCCAUAAGAACUCCGCAGUUAAGCGCGCUAUGGCUAGAGUAGUACUGGGAUGGGUGACCUCCCGGUAAGUCCUAGUGUUGCACCCU
rfam:Picea glauca, whole genome shotgun sequence.